CAGAGGCAUUCCAUAUGUGCAUAUACCCAAUUGUCCAUUCUAGGUUGAUAGGCAUGUAGGUUGCUUCCAGUUUUGUGCUAUUUCUAAAUGCCAUCAUGAUUAACAAGCCCAAACUUGGGGGAGGGGCAUGAGCACUCAUUUCUCUGAGAUGAAAUAUUCAAGCACGUAAAGGCUUUGUCUACCUUAACUGGUUUCCCCAAGGAGUUUCAUCCAUGGAGCUCAGGCUGGCCUUGGACUUGCAAUCCUCCUGUCUCAGUCUUCCAAGCGAAGGAAUGACAGGCAUGUGCCGGCAUACACGAUAACUCGAAGCCUCCCUCCCUCCCUCCCUCCCUCCCUCCCUCUCUCUCUGUAUGUGUGUGUACACAUCCAUGCUGGGGAUAGACACCAGGGCCUCCUGUAUGCUAGGUAAACGCUCUAACACCGAGCUACUUCCCCAGCCUUGGCCCCUCUGUAAGUGUGAGUCCCACAGCCAGCCACAGAUCCUUAGUGCAGGCUUGUUUGACGUCAGACAUCAGAUGGAGCCUUUUUUUUAUGGCACUUCAAAAAAGGCACUUGGGCCUCACGGGCUGCACAAUUGAAAUUUUACAGCUUCUGCUCAUGGUAGGAACAGGUCCCAAGGAUGCUAUCAACCUUUACAAACACUUGGGGCAUAUUUCAGGAUCGUGUGGCAUCGCUCACAUUAAAGGCAACAUGAGAUCACAGGGGCUCCGUGGACACAGCCUUCAGGGCCAGCGGAAGCUCCAUCCAUCAGCGCACACCUCCCCUCCCAGGGUACAUUGACUUAAACAGCCACAGUCAGGGGGCAUAGAGUCCACACUACUCACCAACCUUUGCCUGGC
rnacentral:lncRNA from 1 species